GACCUCGUAGCUCAGGCGGAUAGAGCGCGGGAUUCCUAAUCCCGAGGCCGCUGGUUCGAGUCCAGCCGGGGUCA
rnacentral:tRNA from 1 species